CACACUGCACUACGAAUGUCCAAGUUGAUAUGUGGCAGACCAUUCAUGGCGGAGAACUUCAUCAAUUUAUAAUUGAUACAAAGUUACUGAAAGGCUAUCCAGAUUGUGUGUUGCAAGAUUGACCAUAGUUGUAGUGUCGUAGUGUUUACUGCUGAGGCUAAAUCUUGUCUUAGAAUUCAAGGUAAUUUUGAUGUACAGAAGUCAUUCAUUGGGCAACUCCUGUUCUAUCUGACUACAACUCUAUUGUAUACCUUUCCCGUAAGAACGCCACUAUUGGGACUAUAUGUAGAAGGGUACAAGGGUUUGCUAUGUUCUGCUAUGCUACAUCCAUUGAAUGACGUGAUAACAAAUUACCAUCUCUACCAACAUAAAGGCCUUGGAUAUGAUUUAAAGCUAAAAAUAGCCAGUGAACAGAUUGAUAUCUUGUCAACAGGAGGCUUGGUGAAACUCUCAACCCAUAUCAUGUACUUUUUACAAAGUGCAUAUGCUCUAUAAUAAUUUCAUCUCCUACCAGUUAUGAUAUAUUAUAGUAAAG